GCAGGGAUAGCGAAGCGGUCAAACGCGCUAGCUUCAGGGGCUAGUGGCUUAGGCCUUCGAGGGUUCAAAUCCCUCUCCCUGCA
rnacentral:tRNA from 1 species